UAAGCGGGGGAAAAGAAACUAACAAGGAUUCCCCUAGUAGCGGCGAGCGAAGCGGGAAGAGCUCAAAUUUGUAAUCUGGCGCUUUCAGCGUCCGAGUUGUAAUCUCUAGAAAUGUUUUCCGCGUUGCACCGCACACAAGUCUGUUGGAAUACAGCGGCACAGUGGUGAGACCCCCGUUCAUGGUGCGGAUGCGCAAUGCUUUGUGAUACAUUUUCGAAGAGUCGAGUUGUUUGGGAAUGCAGCUCAAAUUGGGUGGUAAAUUCCAUCUAAAGCUAAAUAUUGGCGAGAGACCGAUAGCGAACAAGUACCGUGAGGGAAAGAUGAAAAGCACUUUGGAAAGAGAGUUAACAGUACGUGAAAUUGUUGGAAGGGAAACGCUUGAAGUCAGACUUGCUGUUCGGAGUUCAGCCGCAAGGUGUACUCUCCGAGUUGCAGGCCAGCAUCAGUUUUUCGGGGUGGAAAAUCACGGUUUGAAGGUAGCAGUUUCGGCUGUGUUAUAGCUUUCCGUUGGAUACAUCCUGGGGGACUGAGGAACGCAGUGUGCUUUUAGCAGGGGUUUCGACCUCUUCACACUUAGGAUGCUGGUGGAAUGGCUUUAAA
rnacentral:rRNA from 1 species